UCCUCAAUAGCUCAAUUGGUUAGAGCAUAUAGCUGUUAACUAUAAGGUUUAUCGGUUCAAGUCCGGUUUGGGGAG
rnacentral:tRNA from 1 species